GGAAGGGUGGCCGAGCGGUCGAAGGCGCACGACUGGAAAUCGUGUAGGGUUAACAGCCCUCCAGGGUUCGAAUCCCUGCCCUUCCG
rnacentral:tRNA from 1 species